GGCCAGACUCCUACGGGAGGCAGCAGUGGGGAAUAUUGCACAAUGGGGGAAACCCUGAUGCAGCGACGCCGCGUGAGUGAAGAAGUAUUUCGGUAUGUAAAGCUCUAUCAGCAGGAACGAGACAAGACGGUACCUGACUAAGAAGCCCCGACUAACUACGUGCCAGCAGCCGCGGUAAUACGUAGGGGGCAAGCGUUAUCCGGAAUCACUGGGUGUAAAGGGAGCGUAGACGACUGAGCAAGCCUGAAGUGAAAGGCGGGGGCCCAACCCCCGGACUGCUCUGGAAACUAUUUGACUGGAGUGCAGGAGAGGUAAGCGGAAUUCCUAGUGUAGCGGUGAAAUGCGUAGAUAUUAGGAGGAACACCAGUGGCGAAGGCGGCUUACUGGACUGUAACUGACGUUGAGGCUCGAAAGCGUGGGGAGCAAACAGGAUUAGAUACCCGUGUA
rnacentral:rRNA from 1 species